GCUUACGGCCAUACCACCCUGAGAACGCCCGAUCUCGUCUGAUCUCGGAAGCUAAGUAGGGUCGGGCCUGGUUAGUACUUGGAUGGGAGACCGCCUCGGAAUACCAGAUGCUGUAAGCU
ensembl:rRNA 5S_rRNA 5S ribosomal RNA